rnacentral:rRNA from 1 species
CUUGGGCCAAGAGUGACGGGCGAUUUGUGCAUACUUGAUUUCUCUUUCGAUCGAAAUUUUUAUUUUCCCAUUUAAUUUCAAGUCCAUUUUCUUCUUUCCUUUAUUGAGUUUCAAAUCUUUUUUAGAUUUGUACCCCACUUAACUCUCUAAUAUCCACUCUGUCUUGAUUUGUUUUCUUUCUUUAUAGUUUUUCUAAUUUUAUCUUAGGAUAGAAUUUUCAAACAAUGAUAUAGAAAUUUAAAAAUUGAGCUUUCCUUGAUCGUGGGCUAUCUGUUACGGAGCAGGGUCCCCUGCAUAGUUCUAGUACCGCCAUUUCACAUAGAUUUCGCUUCUGUAGCUACUCUCAUAUCUUUUCUAUAAAA